rnacentral:rRNA from 1 species
GAUUAUUGGGCGUAAGCGCGCGCAGGUGGUUUCUUAAGUCUGAUGUGAAAGCCCACGGCUCAACCGUGGAGGGUCAUUGGAAACUGGGAGACUUGAGUGCAGAAGAGGAAAGUGGAAUUCCAUGUGUAGCGGUGAAAUGCGUAGAGAUAUGGAGGAACACCAGUGGCGAAGGCGACUUUCUGGUCUGUAACUGACACUGAGGCGCGAAAGCGUGGGGAGCAAACAGGAUUAGAUACCCUGGUAGUCCACGCCGUAGGCGAUGAGUGCUAAGUGUU